rnacentral:rRNA from 1 species
CCUACGGGAGGCAGCAGUGGGGAAUAUUGGGCAAUGGAGGAAACUCUGACCCAGCAACGCCGCGUGAAGGAUGAAGGUUUUCGGAUUGUAAACUUCUGUCGCGAGGGAUGAAGAAUGACGGUAGCUCGUAAGAAAGCCUCGGCAAACUACGUGCCAGCAGCCGCGGUAAUACGGAGGAUGCGAGCGUUAUCCGGAUGUAUUGGGUUUAAAGGGUGCGUAGGCGGAUUUUUAAGUCAGCGGUAAAAUGUCCGGGCUCAACCCGGGCCGGCCGUUGAAACUGGGGGUCUUGAGUAGGCGAGAAGUAUGCGGAAUGCGUGGUGUAGCGGUGAAAUGCAUAGAUAUCGCGCAGAACUCCGAUUGCGAAGGCAGCAUGCCGGCGCCAGACUGACGCUGAGGCACGAAAGCGUGGGGAUCGAACAGGAUUAGAUACCCGAGUAGUC